rnacentral:rRNA from 1 species
UUCCAGACUCCUACGGGAGGCAGCAGUGGGGAAUAUUGCACAAUGGGCGAAAGCCUGAUGCAGCAACGCCGCGUGAAGGAAGAAGGUCUUCGGAUCGUAAACUUCUGUCCUUGGGGAAGAUAAUGACGGUACCCUUGGAGGAAGCCCCGGCUAACUACGUGCCAGCAGCCGCGGUAAUACGUAGGGGGCAAGCGUUAUCCGGAUUUACUGGGUGUAAAGGGAGCGUAGACGGUCCUGCAAGCCAGAUGUGAAAGCCCGGGGCUCAACCCCGGGACUGCAUUUGGAACUGUAAGGCUAGAGUGUCGGAGAGACAGGCGGAAUUCCUAGUGUAGCGGUGAAAUGCGUAGAUAUUAGGAGGAACACCAGUGGCGAAGGCGGCCUGCUGGACGAUGACUGACGUUGAGGCUCGAAAGCGUGGGGAGCAAACAGGAUUAGAUACCCGUGUAC